CUACAGUACACUCUGAAUAUGUCUCUUGAUCACUUCUAGACCCCAGCUAAGAUUCUCUCUCUGUCAUCAUGACCCUGCAUUUCUCUGCCUCACUCAAUUAUUCCAAGAGCCCACAGCUGGCCUUGAGCUUUGUGCUGACGUUGUGGCUGGGCUGAAGUAUACGCUUUGUCCUCCUCCUCUUCAUGAAAAGAGUAACCUGCUGCUGGAGGCAGAGCUGAACAUAGAUCCUGAAUGUAGGCAUGACGUGGGAGCCUCGAUGCUUCCUUCCACUACCAAGCCCGAAACAGGCUGCUCUACAGGGCACUGGAUACACUGGCCCAUCCCAGGAAAUCUACAGCACAAAUGAAGAGAUGAGGCAGGUAAAUAUAAAAAGACAAUUAACAACACAAUGGAAAAUGUGAACUCCGUGAGAUGAUAAGUGGGUUACCCAAAGAGUGUAAUAGGAAAUCAAGAGAGACAGGGGCCAUCACAAUCAGGAAAGGCAUCGCUGAGCAAUAACAAUUUGAAAUGGAUCGUGAAGGAGUAGGAUUCUGGUAGAUGAUAACAGCUGGAUAGUCCAACACAGAGGGAGGCAGGGUCGGGUAGGGGACAGAGAGGCAGUGGAGAGAGAAUAAGUAAGGAAAGAUUUUAGAAACUGCUGUUACUGUUCUGGGGCUCAGAAGAGACUCUCUUGAACCCAGCAAUCUCUCUGUUUGCAAACUUACACUCAUUCAUUCACUCAAAUGGGCAUGCAGUUAUUAUACACCUAGGAUUCUGCAAGCUUAUAGGAUAAGAUUUUAAAUCAAACCAAGGAAAUAAAAAACAUUUAAAGAGUAAAGGCAUGAUUCAUAAUAGUCAGCUCUUUUACAGUUUGAGCUAUUUAAGUUUGAAACUCAAGAAAUUACAUGUUUAAGUGCCUAAGCAGUCUUGAGUUGACUUUUAAUUAACCUCUUUUGCCUUUUCUCAUCUAGGAAAAUUGAAAAAUAUUUUUAUAGUCCAACAGAAACUUACCUUAUAAAAGAAUUACGCAAAUUUGAAAGUCACUUAUAAUAAUCUUUCAAAACAUGAUGUUUGCAGCUAAAUGAAGCCAAAUUGUAUUUAUUCCUUAUCAGUCUUAGUUAUCUUGGUAUCUCUCUCUUAUUAAUAAGAUUCAGACAAAGCCUAGCCUCCCAGUGCAAAGAAAAAGUGAAAACCACAGUGAUUUAAAAAUGAUUUUCUCUAAUCAAGCCACAUCUCAUUAUUCAUGAUUCCUUUUUUUAGAUUUUAAUGUUUGCAGAUGCUUUUUGUGGGAAAGAUAUUUAAAACAUGUCCUCCCAAGUGUGCACCCACCUCUUCAUGCAGAUUAUUCUUCCUCUGUCCUUCUGGGUUGGAGGGGAGGAUUUAUUUAUUCAGCUUAACCUGAAUCUUAGCAAAGAAAAAGAGGGCAUUCCCUUUUCUUUAUACCACCCCCUUUUCAAAAGAACAAUAAUAGGUUUGCCUAAAAACAGAUACAGAGGCUGUGCUAUUCAAUUUUCAUUUUUAUGAUGGUAAGUGGAGUCACCUAGCCUUCUUGGCACCCUAAAUAAUGAGGUUCUUACACCUCCCAUGAUGACUGGUCACCAAAAAGGAUUCCCUAUUGUUUCAGUCUGGGUAGGCUAGGCCGUGCUGCAGUAACAAAUAAACUUUAUGAUCAUGGCGGCUUAGCACAGCAGAAGUUGAUUUCUUCCACACACUGAGUCUAACGCGGUUUGCCUGGGAUGCUCCUCCAUCCAGUGACUCAGGGAUCCAAGCUCUCUUCAUCUUAUAAUAUAGCCUCCUUAACAUGUCACUUCUAAGGUCACUUGAGCCUGGCGAGAGAGAGGAAAGAAGCACACCAGCUUGUAACUGCCUCAGCCUGGAAGUAACAUGUGUUAUUCUGUUUCAGAUUCAUUGUCCAGAAGGAGUCACUUGGCCUCAACCUAAUAGCAAGGCAGAGUGGAAAUGAGGGAGAAUGCAUGGAAUAUUUGGUGAGAAUUAACCAUCUCUGCCUCAGUUACAUGAUUAGCUACAUUUUGUUCUAUGCUAAGCCAAGUCCAGAAGAAGCACUAGGAGAAUGGAGAAUUUCAGCAUAUUAAAAUCAUUGUCCAGAAGUAACCAGGCAUACAAAGUAUACACGUUCUGGAGACAGAGCACACUUAUUGCCUGGCUUGCCACCUUCCAGCAAUAAGAACUUCGGCAAAUCCCACCCUCUGAGCCUCAAUGUCUUCAUCUGUAAAAUGGAAAGAAUACAAACAUAGCAAGGCAGUUGGGAGGAUUAGAAGAAAUGACUGGGAAAGAUCUGGAAAAGUGACUAGCAAAGACUAUGUUUUAAAAGUAGCAAUUAUUAUUAUUGUGUUUUAGUGAUAAUAAUAAAAUGAUGAUAUCAUUAUCAUUAUGCAAAAUAAUUAGUUUGUUAUAUUCAAUUUACCAAAAAUAAUGAGAACAAUUUUGAAAUGCAAGCAUCUCUGAGACUUCCUAGGGGAGUUCCAAAUCAGCUUUGACCCUGCAUUUAAUUUACUUUUAGCAUAGAAUGUAGCAUAUUAUUACCUUUAGAAUUUCUCAUUUCAGAUGAAAAAAAAGUCAAGCUUUUAGAGUAAUUGCAAAUUUUUUAAAGAGACCUCAGUGAAAGCAGAGAGGUGAGUUUCCAUGGCAAUCUCUGAACAACGCAAAGGGAAGGGAAGAAGAGGGGAGCAUUUAAUGAGCACUUACAUGAUGUUAAGCAGUGUGCUUGGCACUUUACGGAAAAUAUCUGUCUAAAACACGGGAAAAUGCUGUGAGGUCAUGGUUUUAGGGAAGAACAAGCGGACUCCAAGGUAGAGAGACUUACCUCAGUUAACCGUUUAGAAUGUGGCCCAAAUGGGGUCUGGCCCUCCUUUGCUGCACCGUUGAGUUUCCUGCGAUUGCACCUUCUUUCUGCUGCUCACGCUCUAUGCCCCAUGUUUCCCAGGCUUAUUCCUCUUUGUUCCCAGACUUCCUCAAGGCUUCCCCAGGGUUAAUAUACAAACCUCCCUCUCCAGCCCGAUCUCUCACCAGCACCUCAGGCCCCUAUUUCCUUCUGACAAUGAGAUAAAUAUCCUUAGAUAGAUUAUCUUUCCUACUCAGAGAGAGUCUUCCUUGUGGCAGAAAGCCUAUGAGAAAAGUUGAAAGAGUGAUGGCAGGGUGAAACCACCAUGCUACAACCAGCCUACUACGGACCAGCUGUGCAAGAAUCAUCAACGGAAGCCAAAUCUGGGGGGAAGUUUGACGAGGGGCAGAAUAUCUGCGUGGUCUCAAAGGCUCUCUGCACAGAUUGCUUGUUAGCUGAAAGGCGAAAAACAGUAACUGCACAAUGGAGAAAUGGGAUGAGACUUGGUGUGAUCAAAAUUGACCUUAGCAGAGAGGAGCGGAUGGACAUCACAUGCCCCUGGACGUGAUGCAUUGAGAAGGAAACCCCAUCACCUAUGAGUAACUUGAAUCUAAUCACAAGGAAACAUCAGACAAACCCACACUGAAGAACAGUCUACAGCCGGCCUCGAUUCUUUAAAAACGUCUGGGUAUGAAAGUGAGAAGGACUGAGGAACCUUCUAGAUUAAAGGAGAGUAAACAGACAUGGCCACUAAAUGGAGCAGAUCCUGUACUGGACAUGUUCCAUGAGUUACACUAAGCUCUCUGGGACCAGAGCUGUGGACAGCAGAGACCCGGGCCUUGCCUCCCAGAACUUCCACUGCAGGGGAUGUGAUGGACACUAGUGAGCAUAAGCGCUACGGAAGCACAAGGAGGGGCAUCUCAUCCAGACCAAGAGGAACCAUGCAUUGACCUGAUGAGGUUUGGAGUACAGGUGGCAAAUGUUGUAAUUCCUGCUCUGCAGUGGAGAUGACUGAACUCAGAGAAAUGAAAUGAACUGACCCAGAUCUCACAAAUGACUAAGUAUCACUUUAAACCAUUGGUUCUCUGGGCUAGCCCGGUGGCUAAGUGAUUAAGUUCACGAACUCUGCUUAGGUGGCCUAAGUUUUGCUGGUUCGGAUCCUGGGCAUGGACAUGGCACCGCUCAUCAGGCCAUGCUGAGGUGGCAUCCCACAUGACACAACCAGAGGCACUCACAACUAGAAUAUGCAACUAUGUGCUGGGGGUGCUUUGGGGAGAAGAAUAAGAAGAAAAAAGAAGAUUGGCAACUGAUGUUAGCUUAGGCACCAAUCUUUAAAAAAAAAAAAAACACACUGGUUCUUGAUCAAGGAUAAUUUUGCCUCCAGAGGACGGUUGGCAAUGUUUGGAGACUGGAGAUUGUCACAAUGGGUUCCUAUAGGUUCAAUGGAGAUCAAGAUCCAAGCUUGGCCUACUUUCCACACGACUGAGACAUGGAAUCCAUGGAUCUCCAAGGAGUCUCGAUUCUCUCUAGCUCAAGAACCAGCUAGGAUUGGAGGAUGAGGUGUGGCUGCUCAGUGUUGAUGCCUUCCACGUGAGUGCUGGAGGACAGCAAGACGCAACUGCUGGAUCACCCUGGGGUUAGAACUGAAAAAACUAUUUCUAGUCAAGGUCAUGAAGUCCACAAUUACAUCUUUAAUUUAGCUUUAAGAAUGAUAAAUUAUUUUAUUUCCACUUUAAUAUGCCUAACUUAGAUAGAUUUUAAACCAUCACUCCAACUAUAAUAGUCUCCUUUUAUUUUUACUUUCUACGUAUUUCUCAUCCAUCACCAUUUGUAAUCAUUUUAUUGACCCUGAAGAAUUCAAAGCACCUCAAAAAUUGCCUCUAUUUAUCCUCCCUCAACUCUCAGUAUAGAUACAAAUUAAUUGAGCCCCUCAUAUACAUGUUGUGGCAUCGACGCUUUCAGGUCCCAUAGAGAUAUUUUGCAAGCUUAAGGCCUAAUUUUCUAAGGAUGUAAUGUAUAGGCUGAAUGACCUUUACCCACUCUCCUCUCCUCUCCUCUCUGGACCUUACUCAACUCAUCUAUAUUUUUUUCGAACUAAAAAAAGAAAAAGAAAUGGCCAGGUCUCAAAUUCUGUGAUUCAGGAAAGAAUUAGGUCCAGGAUCAAAUCUGCUUCAUUAACUAAAGGAUUUUUACAGGAUAAACAUGGAGGGAAGGGCAAGAGAGCUGAGGACGAUACCAUUCUUACACCACCAAACACUGAACACCACUGAGCCAUUCUUUUCCCACCUGAAGCUGCAGAUUGAAAGAGUUAAAUGGUGUAAAAGCACUUUACAAAUUUAAAGCUUGUGCAAAUUGUCUGCCUUUUUACUGCGAAACACCACUCACGAUGAUGAUUGAGUUAAUUCAGGCAUUAAGCUUUUAAGGCGCUCACCCGAGUGUCGAAAGGAAAGUCUUUACAAAGUCCACGUAUCCUGGAUUUCCAAUUCAGUGCUCUAUCCACCAGAUUAUGCAGCAUUUCAAAUACGAAAAUGAAUUCCAUGGAUGAGAAGCAAUCAUUCACCCAUGGGCCAGCCUCUCAUCUUUCCCCGCACACCUGUCGGGAGGAGAUUUGACCGGAAAGGCCCCACUUACCUGAGAUAAAGGACAGUCCACUAAGGACUGUGACGCUGGGUGCUCUGCCCUAAAGCAGGGUGGCAGACAGCUGCAUUAAAGUUGCAAGGCACGCAAGCCUUCCUGGACUGUUUUAUUCAUUCCAGUUCCCAGGGAUAACACUCCAAACUCUGAGUUAGAGGUGCACCUUUGUUCUUAUUCUAAUAUAACCAAAGAAAGCAAGCUCAUGAUACAGCAGUUUAAUUAGAGUAUGCAAAUUACUGUGCUCCCAUGUCCUCUCGUGGGCGACGUCACACCUUAUUUACAGGAGAAGAGAACACAGCUCAGAAAAGGAGGAGGAUGGAAACAAAGCAAGCAGUCUAUGUUCCUCCACAACAGCGUGGGUGGAGGGCCAAACACUGGCUGCCAUGGUUGCCAUCAUGCAACAUCAUUCACUCUGUUUAGCUUGUGGAGGACUUCGGUUAAACCACGUCUCUUUGACAUGCUGGGAAAAGUAAAGAGCAGGCAUUGCAGACAGUGCCUGAUUUUUGCAAAUUUACUUUUGACAUACAUACAUUAAAGUAUACUUUUUUAUGUGCGGUUUUAUGAAAUUUGACAAAUGUCUAGAGCAGUGUAACCAUCAUCACAAUCAGGACACAGAACAG
ensembl:lncRNA